CCUGACCUGAAUAAGAGCAUGGGGAGUCAAAAGGAGUACACACGACGGAGAGUCAAAAGAAGGUAAGCCAACUAUUCCCGACCUCAAUUAGAGCUGAAUUUUUCUUGUGCAUGUUUUAGUUAUUUAGUUUCAUUUCUUUCACGCAAUUUUCAAGAGUAUCAUAGAUUGCAUUGUUAUUAAUCAUGAAAACAUUAGAGAUUACAAUGUCUAUUUUAGGUCUCCUAGGUCACAAUCUCUUUCAAAUUCCAUCUUGCUUUUGUUCUGAUCUUGUAAUAGAAUCGUUUUUACUCAAAUUUUCAGAAUUUGCUGCAAUAAAAACCUAAAGUUCUUAGAUUCUGGGACAAAAUUUGCUCCAUCCAGAGAUUACAGUCGAGAACCUCUUACGACACUUAUUACUUAUUCUCUUCAACAUUUGUAUUCUUCCCUCUGAAGGAUAUAUACCUUUCUAGAUGUGGAAAACUAAGAAC
rnacentral:lncRNA from 1 species